rnacentral:ncRNA from 1 species
CUGUGUUCCUUCCACAGAAGAAUAGGGAAGCCGGGUGAGAAUCCCGCACGGUCACGCCGCUGUAAUUGCUGAGUUUUCUCCGCUUAUGUCACUGGGAAACCGGGAAGACGGGAGAAGAUGACGACGCAUAAGUCAGAAGACCUGCCCAUUGCGC